rnacentral:rRNA from 1 species
AGUGAACGCUGGCGGUAGGCCUAACACAUGCAAGUCGAACGGCAGCACAGGAGAGCUUGCUCUCUGGGUGGCGAGUGGCGGACGGGUGAGGAAUACAUCGGAAUCUACUUUUUCGUGGGGGAUAACGUAGGGAAACUUACGCUAAUACCGCAUACGACCUACGGGUGAAAGCAGGGGAUCUUCGGACCUUGCGCGAUUGAAUGAGCCGAUGUCGGAUUAGCUAGUUGGCGGGGUAAAGGCCCACCAAGGCGACGAUCCGUAGCUGGUCUGAGGGGAGGAUCAGCCACACGGGAACUGAUACACGGGCCAGGCUCCGACGGGAGGCAGCAGUGGGGAAUAUUGGACAAUGGGCGCAAGCCUGAUCCAGCCAUACCGGGUGGGUGAAGAAGGCCUUCGGGUUGUAAAGCCCUUUUGUUGGGAAAGAAAUCCAGCUGGUUAAUACCCGGUUGGGAUGACGGUACCCAAAGAAUAAGCACCGGCUAACUUCGUGCCAGCAGCCGCCGUAA